rnacentral:rRNA from 1 species
GACGAACGCUGGCGGCGUGCCUAAUACAUGCAAGUAGAACGCUGAAGGAGGAGCUUGCUCUUCUGGAUGAGUUGCGAACGGGUGAGUAACGCGUAGGUAACCUGCCUGGUAGUGGGGGAUAACUAUUGGAAACGAUAGCUAAUACCGCAUAAUAACAGUUGUUGCAUGACAACUGUUUGAAAGGUGCAAUUGCAUCACUACCAGAUGGACCUGCGUUGUAUUAGCUAGUUGGUGGGGUAACGGCUCACCAAGGCGACGAUACAUAGCCGACCUGGGAGGGUGAUCGGCCACACUGGGACUGAGACACGGCCCAGACUCCUACGGGAGGCAGCAGUAGGGAAUCUUCGGCAAUGGACGGAAGUCUGACCGAGCAACGCCGCGUGAGUGAAGAAGGUUUUCGGAUCGUAAAGCUCUGUUGUAAGAGAAGAACGAGUGUGAGAGUGGAAAGUUCACACUGGGACGGGAUCUACCAGAAAGGACG